GAUCCUUUACGAGUAACAACAACCUUGGCCGCAGUGUGAGUAAAGGUAACUUCUAUAGGAUACGGAGUGCAUUUGGAUUUGGUGCCAAACGACUGGCAAGAUUACUGGACUGCCCCGAAGAAAAUGUCAUUCAUGAAGUAAAUCAGUUCUUUAUGAAUACAUGGGACAGGCAUGGCAGUGGUCAAAGGCCAGAUGCACCUGGGGCUGAGUUGUGC
rnacentral:misc_RNA from 1 species